CCCCGGGUGGCGAAAUGGCAGACGCAACGGCUUGAGGUGCCGUCGCUCGAAAGGGCGUGCUGGUUCAAGUCCAGUCCCGGGGACCA
rnacentral:tRNA from 2 species